GACGGAGGAUGCAAGUGUUAUCCGGAAUCACUGGGCGUAAAGCGUCUGUAGGUGGUUUAAUAAGUCAACUGUUAAAUCUUGAGGCUCAACCUCAAAAUCGCAGUCGAAACUAUUAGGCUAGAGUAUAGUGGGGGUAAAGGGAAUUUCCAGUGGAGCGGUGAAAUGCGUAGAGAUUGGAAAGAACACCGAUGGCGAAGGCACUUUACUGGGCUAUUACUAACACUCAGAGACGAGAGCUAGGGUAGCAAAUGGG
rnacentral:rRNA from 1 species